rnacentral:rRNA from 1 species
GUUUCUUUUAACUGAAACUGUAUAGACCACACAUGGUUGAGGGUUG